GACGAACGCUGGCGGCGUGCUUAACACAUGCAAGUCGAACGGAAAGGCCCUGCUUUUGUGGGGUGCUCGAGUGGCGAACGGGUGAGUAACACGUGAGUAACCUGCCCUUGACUUUGGUAUAACUUCAGGUAACUGGGGCUAAUACCGGAUAGGAGCUCCUGCUGCAUGGUGGGGGGUGGAAAGUUUCGGCGGUUGGGGAUGGACUCGCGGCUUAUCAGCUUGUUGGUGGGGUAGUGGCUUACCAAGGCUUUGACGGGUAGCCGGCCUGAGAGGGUGACCGGCCACAUUGGGACUGAGAUACGGCCCAGACUCCUACGGGAGGCAGCAGUGGGGAAUAUUGCACAAUGGGCGGAAGCCUGAUGCAGCAACGCCGCGUGCGGGAUGACGGCCUUCGGGUUGUAAACCGCUUUCGCCUGUGACGAAGCGUGAGUGACGGUAAUGGGUAAAGAAGCACCGGCUAACUACGUG
rnacentral:rRNA from 1 species